rnacentral:snoRNA from 1 species
GGUUAAUGAUGAGCUGACUUGUACUCUGAAUCUAAACUUGAUUAUUAGUACUUUAGUUCUAGAAUUAUUGAGACAUA